rnacentral:lncRNA from 1 species
AACAGAUAAAGGUUGACAUUUGCACUCCUAAGCUCCUCUGCUAUUAAAAUUUCUCAAAUUUUGCCUGAAGAACUUGCUGAAGUCUCCCGUCUUCAGCACUGUGUUCUUAGAUAUCUGGAAAUCAGAGCAAAGAGUUGGCAGAAGUCUUUGCUAUAACAGCAGAUAAUACUGUAAAGGAUAAAAUAAAAGGCCAAGAAGAGGAAAGAAUGAAAACUAUGAAAAUACAAGACCACAAGGAUGUUGGAUGUUCAAGGUUUUCUGAAGCAGUGUUGUAUUUCUUAACUGUAAUGAAAAAAUCCUGAAGUGCAAUUCCUCCCUUUUUUCCUCUGCUGAAGAGCCUGGAGUUCUCUCAGCCUUCUCUUGCAGGGAAAGUGUUCUAUCCCAUGAAUCAUUUUUGUGGCCCUCCUCUGGACAUGCUUGAACAG